GACGCUGGCGGCGUGCCUAACACAUGCAAGUCGAACGGGGUAAUUCCUUCGGGGAUUACUUAGUGGCGAACGGGUGAGUAACGCGUGAGGAACCUACCUCUCAGUGGGGGACAACAGUUGGAAACGACUGCUAAUACCGCAUGUUUUAUGUUGAGGGCAUCCUCGAUAUAAUAAAGGAGCAAUCCGCUUUAAGAUGGGCUCAUGUCUGAUUAGAUAGUUGGUGAGGUAACGGCUCACCAAGUCGACGAUCAGUAGCCGAACUGAGAGGUUGAUCGGCCACAUUGGGACUGAGACACGGCCCAGACUCCUACGGGAGGCAGCAGUGGGGAAUAUUGCGCAAUGGGGGCAACCCUGACGCAGCAACGCCGCGUGAAGGAUGAAGGUCUUCGGAUCGUAAACUUUUGUCUUAUGGGAAGAACAAGGACGGUACCAUAGGAGGAAGCCACGGCUAACUACGUG
rnacentral:rRNA from 1 species